rnacentral:rRNA from 1 species
UACGGGGGGGGCAAGCGUUGUUCGGAAUUACUGGGCGUAAAGGGCUCGUAGGCGGCCAACUAAGUCGGAUGUGAAAUCCCCAGGCUCAACUUGGGAACUGCAUCCGAUACUGGAUGGCUUGAAUUCGGGAGAGGGAUGCAGAAUUCCAGGUGUAGCGGUGAAAUGCGUAGAUAUCUGGAGGAAUACCGGUGGCGAAGGCGGCAUCCUGGACCGACAUUGACGCUGAGGAGCGAAAGCUAAGGGAGCAAACGGG